rnacentral:tRNA from 1 species
AAGGAUAUAGCCAACCAGUAAGGCAUCUCACUUACGCUGAGAAGAUGUUUAUGCAACUUAAACUAUCCUAA